CGGCUUAACAGCUAGGGGUAUUGC
rnacentral:siRNA from 1 species